AAAGCGACAAAAUAAUUCUUUGGUCCAUUGAGGCCAUAGCGACAAAAUGGACUGACUCGUUUAGAGUCUGAUUCUGGCCGAAGCGACAGAAUGCGUGGAUCCUGGCCAAAGCGACAGGAUCGUUCCUGCAAAACAAAAAAAAACCCUGCAAAACAACUGUAUCAGUCUAAAGGAUAUAUUUAUUGACUUACUAACCUUGCCGUGAGGGGCUGCUUCUUGUGCCGCUCCUUCCCAUGCUCAAUAUCUCCUCGAUUGAUCUGGCCGAAGCGACAGAUCUAUCGUGCUCAAUGUUUGACAUCUCCUGGCCAAANNN
rnacentral:lncRNA from 1 species